UACCCAGUAGACUUGUGCCAUUGUUUCUGUUGUAGCAGCAUAGAUUAUUACCUGCAGUAACAUGCAAGUUGUUCAAAGCCAGAUGCUGUUAAAGAUGUAUUUUGGUCUCUUAAGGUUUUCUCAGCUCACAUUCAAUGCACCAAUAUUUAUGUGUAGUAACUGUAUUGACAGUUUUGUAAUAAUGCCUGGAGUAAUUUGAUGGAUGUAUGGAUUGCAGAGGCCAGACUUAUCAAUGUAUAAUUAUAGUUACUCAAAAGGCAGAAGUAAAAUUUAGAUUGGACCCUAUUUUCAGUUGACAACUAUGUGAAUUAAAUCUCCAGUUUAUUACCACCAGACCAACUCCACAGGAAUAAAACAUCUUCAGGUGCAGUGCAAUCACCUGACACUUGGGUGCCUGUCCGCACUAAAUACAGGACAUGAUUCAUAAUACCCCCAACACAAACCUCCACUCCUCACCAUGGCCUGCAGCAACGCUUCUCAAACUGGGGUCUGCAGAGACACUGCAGAACAGAUUCAACUCUUUUAGCAAAGAAUGUGUUCCUUCCUACAAAUACCCUGGAUGUGGUGAAGAUGGGUCUUAAAACACAUUUCCUGUGGAUGAAGAGCCUAAACAUCUGGCUUGGACUAUUAGGCUGUCAUCCAUAAAUAUCCUGACUAUUAACCUUAGCUGGGAAGUCUGCAGUUCACAAACCCACUCCCAAGAAUGGUUAGUCCCGGUGACAACUAGGGCUUGUUUAGAUCUAGUAACCACUAUUGAAUAUCAUGGCCCACGCUCAUAGAAUGCCAUUCAGAGUGACCUCAAACUGUGUGUUUCAGUGCCUAAUAUAUUUCAUUUAUUGUUAAUUGUGAUAAUUUUGUGUGUGUUAUUAUUUUCCUUUUG